GAUUUUAUGAAACAGAGCACUGCUGUAAUCUCUCUUCUCCGGUCGCUGCUGGAGCUGGAGCCUUGUUCUUUCAACUCUGCUUCGCGGUGUUCAUCUGCUCACGCCGUUUUGAAACUUCUGCUCUACUCCGCCGUGGUGCCGUGCUCUGUCCUCUCAGGCAAAUCGACAACUCUCCGCCGUUCACCUUUCUCUCAAGCCUCUCGCAUCAUACUCGAUCCUUAGAGGUACAUAAAGCAGAACAAUGACGUUGCUCUCUGUGCAUCCAGAAUGGGUUUGGGAUAAUCUUUAUUGACUGAAAGUUGCUAGAGACAGAGCUAAGUUCAGCAAAGAGAAACAUGGUGGGAGUUUAUAACAAUAUUCUUUGUUCAAGACAUCAGUCACCGAAAAUGGGAAAAUAGAAGCUAGGCAAAAAUAAAAGUGUACGGAAAAUAGAAUAAUUAGUUAUGCACUUCUUGUAUUGCUGAGUCAUUAGAUUUGUAUUCAACUCUUUUUAAGUCAGAAUAUUUUUUUUCUUUAGAGGCUUUUUAUUAAAUCGGCUUGUCAUAUAUUGAUAUUUGAACUAGAAAUCUUUAUACAAUAUGUAUAAUGUUUUUGAAAUUUUAAUAUGAUAAAAUUUAUUGGUUA